rnacentral:rRNA from 1 species
CCUACGGUGGGCAGCAGUGGGGAAUAUUGGACAAUGGGCGAAAGCCUGAUCCAGCCAUGCCGCGUGUGUGAAGAAGGCCUUCGGGUUGUAAAGCACUUUCAGUGGGGAAGAAAGCCUUGGGGCUAAUACCCUCGAGGAAGGACAUCACCCACAGAAGAAGCACCGGCUAACUCCGUGCCAGCAGCCGCGGUAAUACGGAGGGUGCGAGCGUUAAUCGGAAUUACUGGGCGUAAAGCGCGCGUAGGCGGUCUGAUAAGCCGGUUGUGAAAGCCCCGGGCUCAACCUGGGAACGGCAUCCGGAACUGUCAGGCUAGAGUGCAGGAGAGGAAGGGAGAAUUCCCGGUGUAGCGGUGAAAUGCGUAGAGAUCGGGAGGAAUACCAGUGGCGAAGGCGGCCUUCUGGACUGACACUGACGCUGAGGUGCGAAAGCGUGGGUAGCAAACAGGAUUAGAUACCCGUGUAGUC